UACGGAGGGAUCCAAGCGUUAUCCGGAAUCAUUGGGUUUAAAGGGUCCGGUAGGCGGAGUUUUGUAAGUCAGUGGUGAAAGCCCAUCGCUCAACGGUGGAAACCGGCCAUUGAUACUGCAAGAUCUUGAAUUAUUAGGAAGUAACUAGAAUAUGUAGUGUAGCGGUGAAAUGCUUAGAGAUUACAAUGGAAUACCAAUUGCGAAGGCAGGUUACUACUAGUGGAUUGACGCUGAUGGACGAAAGCGUGGGGAGCGAACAGG
rnacentral:rRNA from 1 species